rnacentral:tRNA from 1 species
UCCGAAGUAGCUCAGUGGUAGAGCAGGCGGCUGUUAACCGCCGGGUCGGGGGUUCGAUCCCCUCCUUCGGAGCCA